rnacentral:tRNA from 1 species
UCCCUGGUAGUAUAUCGGUUAGUACACGCGCCUGUCAUACUGCAAUGGUCGCGCGAAAGCUGGGUUCGACUCCCAGCCAGGGAG